UGCAAGUCGAGCGAGAAAGGGUAGCAAUAUCCGAGUACAGCGGCGCACGGGUGAGUAACACGUGGAUAACCUGCCUCGAAGUGGGGAAUAACACCGGGAAACCGGUGCUAAUACCGCAUAUUCUGACGAGAUCUGCGGAUUUUGUCAGGAAAGGAGCAAUUCGCUUUGAGAGGGGUCCGCGGCUGAUUAGCUAGUUGGUGAGGUAAUGGCUCACCAAGGCAACGAUCAGUAGCCGGUCUGAGAGGACGGUCGGCCACACUGGAACUGAGACACGGUCCAGACUCCUACGGGAGGCAGCAGUGGGGAAUUUUUCGCAAUGGGGGCAACCCUGACGAAGCAAUGCCGCGUGGGUGAUGAAGUCUCUUGGGACGUAAAACCCUUUCGACAGGGACGAAAGCCGCAAGGUUUGACGGUACCUGUAGAAGAAGCCCCGGCUAACUCCGUGCCAGCAGCCGCGGUAAUACGGGGGGGGCAAGCGUUGUUCGGAAUUACUGGGCCGUAAAGGGUGCCGUAGGCGGCUCUCUAAGUCGGAUGUGAAAACUCU
rnacentral:rRNA from 1 species